rnacentral:rRNA from 1 species
GUGGGGAAUCUUGCGCAAUGGGCGAAAGCCUGACGCAGCCAUGCCGCGUGAAUGAUGAAGGUCUUAGGAUUGUAAAAUUCUUUCACCGGGGACGAUAAUGACGGUACCCGGAGAAGAAGCUCCGGCUAACUUCGUGCCAGCAGCCGCGGUAAUACGAAGGGGGCUAGCGUUGCUCGGAAUUACUGGGCGUAAAGGGCGCGUAGGCGGACAGUUUAGUCAGAGGUGAAAGCCCAGGGCUCAACCUUGGAAUUGCCUUUGAUACUGGCUGUCUUGAGUUUGGGAGAGGUGAGUGGAACUCCGAGUGUAGAGGUGAAAUUCGUAGAUAUUCGGAAGAACACCAGUGGCGAAGGCGACUCACUGGCCCAAUACUGACGCUGAGGCGCGAAAGCGUGGGGAGCAAACAGGAUUAGAAACCCCGGUAGUCC